GGCUGGACCAAGUGCAAUGGUGUUUACAACUAAUUGAUCACAACGAGUUACAGGUUUCUUUGUUCUUUCUGCACUCCCAUUGCUUUACUUGACUAGCUUAAA
ensembl:misc_RNA Y_RNA Y RNA